AGAAAAUAGAUACAAAUUGUGGAGAACACUUUAAAAUAAGAUGGAAUUGUAUAACCCUAAGUGUGCUAUAAGUAUGCUGUAACCCUAAAGUAUGCUGUGACUUUAAGAGUGCUGUGAGUGAUCUGUAACCAUAGUAACCAUAAGAUAUAGAAGUAGAACCUUAAGCAGUGUGGAAUUGAUAAGGAUGCACCCCGAACGGGACAAGGCAUGGUCCAAAAUGGACAGUGUGAUAAGUCUGAACCAAUACCACAAACGCCCAGUUAGAAUAGUAUAAAAGGAGCUGAAGACCUCAAGCAAGUCGACGAUCCGUCCCACCGACCAGUCUACUAGUCAGUCUGUUGAUCUGACUACCGACCGGGACACAUGCACCUGAUCCCGCUGGAAGGAGCAUCGUCGCCGACCAGACAAGGCCAGAAGACGAGGCCAGCGGAGAGACGGACAGCCUAGCGCCGACUCGACGCCCUUCGUCUACGGAUCGGACCCUCUGACCCGACGGGAGGAAACAUUGCGCUCCCAUAAGGACUUGCGCAGUACAGGUACAGGGACGUGGUAAUUGGCAGACUUAAUAUUGUCUUAUUUAAUAUCGUGUGAUAAUUGCAUAGAAGUGAAUUAUAAUAAUAUAAGUGUGUGAACUGCCAUCUGAGUCUGAGUCCUCUUUACCCGCGGUACCUGCUCGCGACACAAAUGAAGACAAACAGUAAAGAACACAACAGUUAUGAGAACAAAAUGAAAAGAGAUUUUAAAAGAUCAGGGUGAAAAUUAUAUACAAAAAAUUAUCUAGGCCUCCAGGCAAAUAUCAACAAACAAAAUUAACGAUUUCCGAAGAGGAAGCAAAUCAACUGGUGCCAGACUUCUUGAUGAUAAUACCCGCCAACACAACAGUGGAGCAACAUUUUCCAAACACAAGAAAGCUGUAUUUUAAGUACCAAGAACAGCAUUCCUGCGAGAAACAGCUGACAUUCCAGGUUUGGAACAACGCAAGUAUAAGAUGACUAUGUUGAACCCCUGGACCCUGAUGUCAGCAAGAUCUCCAGGGAGGCGCCACCAAGGACUAGAAGACUUCAACCACUUGGGCAAAGAAUCAGUCAACCAAGCCAGCUAAAUGAAAACGUGGACACUGCAGCUGGAGUGAGCCGCCCGUGCACACGGUCACACACAGUGGCCAGGAGCAGACUGAGGCUGUGUGUAACUGCAAGAAGACAGCACUGAAAGCUCCGAGUCUGGCACCUCCUAGUCUCUACCUUGUGUAUCUCUUCCUCUGCUGCUUCUAAUUUGUGUUUUCUUUCCCUGUUAUAAAUGUGUCUUGGAGUAUAAUUGCUUUGUUAGCACUUUCUAGCAAAUAUCAAACCUGAGGGUGGCUUUGAGAAACCCCGAAUUAGAAAUCGCCAAGACACUGUCCACUACAGAAGAAAGUCAAGUAUUUGUAACAGAAAGUAAUUUGCUUAUUUCUUGAUAACUUCUUCUCUGGAAUAAAUAUGUAAUUGGUCCUAGCUGGGUGUGGGUUGAGGCCAGCCUGGGCUGCAUUACAUAGUGAGUUCAAGUAAUCAGUCCCGCUUUAAAGAAUUCUCUUUUGAGAACAGUAAGAAAGACCAAUAUGAUUACUAAUGCUAGCCUCUACCUGAUUCUGUUCAAAGGUAGUUAAUAGUUACAAGAUUUAUGUU
ensembl:lncRNA